UAAUCAGAGGGUGAACACACAGUUAGACAUGUUGAUGCUUCCCUUGUUGGCGUCUUUAUACGCGUUUUCUUGCUAAAAACAAAUUCACACCUCUUGGGACUUUUCCCACAUGUUGCCAAAGCAUACCCGCAAAAUUUAGUUGCAUUAUGCGUGGAUUUUCUGCAGUAGAUCAACACAAAGCGGUGCAUAUUUGUAAAGUGUGUCUGUCACAAAUAAAAAGAAAAAAAUUGAAGCCCAACAAAGUUUGUGGUUGCAAGUUGAUGAAACGUGACAAAGCUCAGAGGAUGGACAGUUUUGUGUGUGUAACUAGAAAGUUUAAUCUCUGUAUGCA